AGUGAACGCUGGCGGCAGGCCUAACACAUGCAAGUCGAACGGCAGCGCAGUAAGUGCUUUCUCUUACGGGUUGCGAGUCGCGUACGGAUCAGGUAUACAUCCUACUCUACUUUUUCGUGUGGCUUUUCGUAGCGAUACCUACUCUCAUACCGCAUACGACCUACGGUUGAAUUCACGUGAUCUUCGCAACUUCCUCGCUACAAUGUGCCGAUGUCGUAUUUGCUAGUUGGCGGGGUAAAGGCCCACCAAGGCGACGAGCCGUAGCUGGUCUGUGAGGAUGAUCGGCCACACUGGAACGGAGACACGGUCAAGACUCCUACGGGAGGCAGCAGUGGGGAAUAUUGGAAAAUGGGCGAAAGCCUGAUCCAGCCAUACCGCGUGGGUGAAGAAGGCCUUCGGGUUGUAAAGCCCUUUUGUUGGGAAAGAAAAGCAGCAGGUUAAAACCUCGAUGUUGUGACGGUACCCAAAGAAUAAGCAACGGCUAACUUCGUG
rnacentral:rRNA from 1 species